AUAAUCAUUAGUUUUUUAAUUGGAAACUUGUAUGAAUGGUUGGACAAAGAAGAAUCUGUCUCUUUUAUUAAGAUUGAAUUUAACUUUUAAGUGAAAAGGCUUAAAUUUUUCAAAGGGACGAUAAGACCCUAUAAAGCUUUAUAAAUUUAGAGAUUUUGUAUAUUUUUCUAUAGUAAUAAUUUCUUGAAAGUUUAUUUGGUUGGGGCGAUAAUAGUAUAAUUAAAAUAACUGCUUUAAAAUAAUACAAAUAUAUUUGAGUUAUAAUUAGUUGAUCCUUUAUAAAGAUUUUGAGAUCAAGUUACUUUAGGGAUAACAGCGUUAUUUUUCCUGAGAGUCCUUAUCAAAGGAAAAGUUUGCGACCUCGAUGUUGAAUUAAAAUGUCUUUAUAGUGCAGCAGCUAUAAAAGAAGGUCUGUUCGACCUUUAAUAUUUUACAUGAUUUGAGUUCAGACCGGCGAGAGCCAGGUCGGUUUCUAUCUUUUGGAAAGAAAGAAUUUACUUUAGUACGAAAGGAUUGAGUAAGUAAAAAGUUUUUAAUAGUUGAAAU
rnacentral:rRNA from 1 species